AUACUGACCAAAAGCAGUUUGGGAGAGGAGUUUAUUUGCCUUACAGUCUAUGAUCCAAAGAAGUCAAGGCUAAGGCUCAUAGCAGGAACUGAAACAAAGACCAUAGCUCCUGGCUCAUUCUCCCUUGACUUGUUCAGCUAUCAUUCUUGUAAAGUCCAGGCUCACUCACCCAGAGAUCACAAGGCACACUGUGACCUGGCUCUCCUAUGACAAUUAGCAGUCAAGAAAAUACCCUACAGACAUUCCCAUUGUUUGAUCUGAUGGAGGCAAUUUCUCACUGGGGUUUAAUCUCCAGUUACCCCUCCUCCACAGGAAAAAAAAGGAGAAAGCAAAGGAAUUAUGUGUUUCUCAGCCUGAGUAUCUAGAGGGGAGCCUGGCUUCUGUGAGCAUUCUAUAAAAUUCUCAGUAAGUAGUUAGGCUCUGAGGAGAUGUGAAGGAGACAGACACCUAGAUUUGGCAUGUGCGCUCAGCUUCUUUAGGCUUCACCAUUAUGAUCUAGGCAGGGCUCAGGCAGACAUCCACAGACCAGACCAGAGCAGGUUGAAUACAGAGAAAGGGCCCAAUGGUGCUGAGGACUUGCAAAAGAAGGACAAACACAGAAGCCUAUCUUCUUCCCGGAAUUGCAUCACUCACCAGCCAGGCUGGUACUUCCUUGACUUGUGUAGCUGACAGGAGACUCCAACAAUAGCAGGCAGGCUAAGUGGCAGGUAGCUUCUAGGAAUUCCAGAAUACAGUUAUUGUGUUGUGAGGCCCUAUGGCCAACGCCAACCUGUGGUCUUAAGCCAUCUGAGGCAUCUGCUCUGGCCUAACAAACUGGACUGAUGGCCUGGAACCCAUCAACAGGACACAGGAACAAACCACAAAUGCAAUAGGCACAAGCCUGUAUACAUUUAGUUCAUGUGACAAAUACAUCAGGGUCUUCCUGGCCUCAUCACUAAAGACACCCUCCUCAACACACACACACACACACACACACACACACACACACACACACACACACACGUACGCACGCACGCACGCACGCACGCACGCAAAGAUGCAUUGAGGCUUGGUCUUCAUUCAAGGAUGGUCAGGACUUUCAGGAAAGAAAUAAGAGGUGGGCGGGUAGUAGGCCUCAAGUCCAGAAAACAUGGGGUGAUUAUAUUUUCACUGGUUUGAGAGAAAAGGGGAAGAAGAAAGCAACACAGUGAGUUUUGAAACAGCUAAAUUCAUGCCCUGUAAAGGAAUUCAGGGUGGUGUGUCCCGUGCUUUCAGAACAAUGCCGUUUCUUCUUUCUCGUGUGAAAUCAAGUUCAGAAUACAUGGCAGUCAGUUUAUAUCAUCUCAUAUUUGGCCCAAUAAAAAUAACAUCCAUUUCCACAUUCAUUAAUUGUUUUACUUAUUUAUGGGGGCACGUAGAGGUCAGAGGACAGCUUUUGGGAGCAAGUCCUCUUCUUCCACCAUGACUGGAGAAACAACUGGGUCUCGAGGACUGAAACCAGAUUGUCUGGCUUGGCAGCAAGCACCUCUUCCUGCUCAUGUCAGCCCUCACAGCAAUGUCUUGCCUUCACUCCCCACGGUUUUUGUUUUGUUUUGAGUACUGAUCUUUGGAAGCCAAAGGUCUGUGAAUCUUGAGGCGUAUGUUCCAGGUUUAAGUCAUGAAGCGUACAGUUUGCCUUGCUGAACAGGCUGUGGGCAUUGAGGAAAGAGGAACUCGGUGUGCUCUGCAUCAGGAGAUGGGGCCAGAAAGGAGUCAGAGGUGGGCGGAGCAGUCCUUCUGAGCAGCCUUUAGGAGGCAGUGGCCAUUGACAAGUGAGUGAGCAGAAGACACCGUCUCGCCUCUGCUGUCAGGGGACUAACCUGGGCUCCAGCAGAACAGACAGAUUAGAAAGGAAGGAGAUAAGAAGACAAAUGAUGCAAGACAUCAGAGAUAAAGACAGGGUUAGGUAAGGAGUCUGGUAGCCAAUGGCAAGGAACGAAGAAAUACGGCAAGACUUGCAGGCUGUCCUGUGACAUGCCAGCCUUGAGGACACAUUGGCAUGGACACAUCCAGCACAUUCAGCCACGCCGGAGAACAGUACAGAGCCAAGUCUUGAACAUGACAGGUAGCCUAUCCGGUCUCUGGGCCCACAGAUCCUAGAAUCAGAACAAUUUGGGGGCAAUUAUGAGCUCUGGGGUAAUGCCAACCCCGCCUAAACACAUUUGACCCAUUAGCUAGGCCAGUAAUCAGGUACUAUUGCCGAGUACCAUUCAAAGAUAAUCCAUUCAAAAGACUUUUGGGUAGCAGGCAAUUUAAGGGUGUUGGAAGGAUCUGCAAGUGUAGAUGGACACCUGGAAUUAGCACUUGUUCUCAGCAGAAUGGUGCCCAUAAGGCGAAGUCAUGGGCCCUAGCUAAAAAGCCACUCUUCUGCCCCAACCAACUGAUGCAAUGUGGAAACGAGAUUUGAUCUUUGGAAAUUUUUUUUAAAAGACUGGCUAUCUGGAAGCUUACUUAGUGAGCUAACUCAAGCUUAAACUACAACGACGUUACUGGAGUUAAAAUGUGUUUUACUUGCAAGCUGAAUUUGUUCCACAGACCUCUAGUCUGAGACCUUUGGCCUAGAGAUUAGAGAAUCAUUAAGCCCAUAUAUCUAUAACCUGAAUCUGGGACCCUGUGUUCUCUACCUGACAAAACAAAACAGCAAAGCAAAACAGAAUGGAGCAGAGACAGAGAAGUGGGUUUUUGAAAACUAGGUUUACUUAACAGUUUGUCCAAAAUGGAGAGAGAGAGGGGAAAAUUACUAGUUUGUCAAUACCCCGUAGCAGUGCUACGAUUUAUAAAAAAAGAUGUAACAAACCUCCUUUAAGGUGAAGAAGGCAUAGAGAGAAUGUAACUCAGGGAGAAGAGGCCUUGGAAAUGCCAUCAUCUGAGCAUGACACAGCCUUUGCCACCAUGAACUUGGCAGCUGUGGGUGCCUGCUCUGAGCCUGUACAAGAGUGGCUCUUUGAACUGUCAAUCAUUGAGUCCUCGCUCUCCCCGAAGAACUAUUGGCUACUGCUAACCCCACCAAGUUCCAGUGUUUAGAUUAAUAACCAAAGCCAGGAAAUAAGGCAUUGUGGGCUGAACACGUGAUGCAUGUGUCAUAGGUGUGAGGAGCCUGUGCUGCAGGGGGUUGCCUUUCUGCAGGGGACUUUGGGCUGUUCUCACCCGUACCAGUGGUUUCAUGGAGAAAAUUACCCAUUGCAGCCCAGGUGAGACUGUUACAGGCCCACAAUGAGUAAGCAAAUAUAUGCCAGCAAGAAGACAAGCGAAGCCAUUAAUGAUACAGAAGCUGUACUAUGCUGUCCAAUCUCCGUUUCAGAGACAAGGAAUGGUUUCUCCUGCUGAUGGGUAUGGUGCUUGCUCACAGCCCAUAAGUCCAAAGCUGGUGACUUUUCAGAGUUGUUGUGAGUAGAAGGUAGGGUUCUCAGAAAUUUCUGUUCCUGUGUGGACAUGUCAUGGACUGCAGUCUGCUCUCAUCACCCCUGAGGAAGGUCAUAUCACCCAGUGUACCCGCGAAUCUACACAGAUGAGAUGAAAGAGCCGAGCAGCACUGCGGGGACCAAUGAUCAGACAGAAGCCAUUUCCAGAGCAUGCUGGGUGAUGGCAGGCAUUGGAGCUAGGGCGUCCAUCUUGUUCUUUCUGGUGAUGAGAGGUCAGGGCCCCAGAGUGGGAGCUUGAUGGAACAAGACUAAAUUUUUAUUAUGACAAAACACGUGUAACAAAAUUUACCUUUAAACCAUUUUAUGAUUCUGGUUUAGUGACUUGGACACUUUUACCAUAAUGUGCCACCAUCAGUGUGCAAGUCCAGAAUUUCCAUCAACUCAAACAGAAGUCUGGAUUCAUUAAGCAGUAACUCCUUAGUCUCUCUUGGGUAACCUCUACUUUCUGAGUUUUCCUGCCCUGGGUGACUUACAAGGUACCUGUCCUUUUGUGCCUGUUGUCAUUCAAUAAGGGGGAAGAUUGCAAAGUGCAUCCAAGUCAUGUUUUAGUGCUCGCUUCCUUCCAAAUGCUGAAUGACAUCCCUUGUAAGGGUGUACCAUACUUUGUAUUUCUAUACUUUGCAAAUGUACAUGGGCUGGUUCUGUUUUCUAGCUAUUGCAAGCAAUAUUAGUAUAAAUUCCGGUGUGGGGUAACAGGGUCUUAUUUGUUGUUUGUUUUCAUUUUUCAUUUUUUUGUUUCUGUAUUCAGCUCACUUCUAAUACACUAAAGCAUGAGUUCUGAGAAGAUUAGCUAAUGCAGUCUCUCAUGACUAGUUGAGGAAGCAAAGGCUAUACAAUGCCAAGCCUCUCAUCCAUUUAGUGGCAGCACUAACAGAUGGUAUUAAGGCCAUGAGCUUUGGUUUGGAUCUGAAAUGUGGCCCACAGGAUAAUGUUUUGAAUUCUCAGUCUCCACCUCAUGGUACUAUUAUUUUAGUAAUAAUUUUUAUUUAUUCUUUGGGAAUUUCGGAAAUAUGUAUUUUUGAGCAUAUCUACCUACCACCAAUUCUCCUUGUAGCACUCCCAACAUGGCCCCUUCCCAAAUUCAUGUCCUUAUUACAACUCAGUGAAACCAAUGGUGCUGCCCAUAUAGUGUGCAUAAGUGUGGGGCCGUAGGUGUGGGCCAUGGGCAACCUAUGCAUGGCAGCACCUGCCUUCUUUUCCAUGAUGGUACCUGAACCUUGUGAUGGAGGAGGGUGACAUAGGUGUCCUAUUUAGAACUGAGAAUCCAGUCACCUAUGCACGGUGCUUUGGUCAGUUAUGAGUCUCUGCCUUAACUGCUGCACACAACAAAUUUUGACCAUUUUUACAGUUUCAGGCAUGAGCUCCAUACUGUGGAACAGGCCUCAAAGCCAAGCAGAAAGCACUUGGUUUAGUCCCACAACCAUCACGACACUAAUGCCUUGAUGGACACAUCUUACCUGUCAGCUCAGCACAGCAGCAUAGAGUCCAGCUUUGAGGAAGACCGUUGUCUUCUUUUUUCCCUUCAGGGCCAGCACAGCACCUUCUCACACUGUAAAAGGUAGUAUGGCACUAUUUGAGGGCUGAGGAGCCUUUAGGCAGUGGGCCCUGGCUGAUGGAAGUUGGUCACUAGUGUGAGUCUGUUGCCAAGGGAACAGCCGCCCAGUGCAAGCUCCUACUGCUACGGACUGAGCUCUUUCUGAAACUGGGAGCCGAAAUAUGUCUUUCUUCCCUUAAGUUGUUUCUGUCAAGAAUUUUGGUCACAGCAAUGCAAAAGUAAACAAGACAGCAUGUUAUCCAAAGCUUGGAUUCACUGGCUGAGUCAUGAUAAAGCAGGUCUAUCAUUCUUUCCCACAACACCAGCAAUUAAAUGUAGCGUGGCAUACACACAGGAAUGUGCUCAACCACUAGGGCUAUCGCCCCAGCUCUGUGCACCAUUCGUGACCAUUUAUGUCUACCCCAUGUGGCAGUUUGAGUGUAACUGGCCCCCAUAAGCUCAGAGGGAAUGGCAUUAUUAAACAGUGUGGCUUUCUGGAGUAGGUAUGGCUUUGUUAAAGGAAGUAUGUCUCUGUGAUGGCAGGCUUUGAGGUCUCCUAUGCUCAAGCUAUUCCCAGUGUGGACACAGACUACUUCCUGUUGCCUGCAGAUCAAGAAAUAGAACUCUCAGCUCCUUCUCCAGCACCUUGUCUGCCUGCACAAUG